UCCAGCAUAGUAGGUGGCGGUAAUGCACCUUAAACGUUAGGUGAAACCCGCCAUUAAACAAAAAGAAGAAGAAGAAGUUGCGAUUUCUGCACUUUUGCAGAUGUGAAGGGCGAGGACGAGAGACAUACAACAACUCUUGGAGCAAAGCGACAAAGACUGAGGACACUGAGGGACAGAGGAGACAAUCAUCUUCAGGACAGUGAGAGAGGCAGUGGCAGAGAGAGAGGAAGAUGAGAAGAGCCACCGAGGACCCGAGCACGCUCUGUCUGUUUGACGUUGACGGCACGCUCACAGCCGCGAGACAGCGUGGAACUACACACAU